UACGUAGGGUCCUAGCGUUGUCCGGAUUUAUUGGGCGUAAAGAGCUCGUAGGCGGUUCGGCAAGUCGGAUGUGAAAUCUCCACGCUUAACGUGGAGGGGCCAUUCGAAACUGCCGUGACUCGAGUCCGGUAGGGGAGUGUGGAAUUCCCGGUGUAGCGGUGAAAUGCGCAGAUAUCAGGAGGAACACCGAUGGCGAAGGCAGGUCUCUGGGCAUUAACUGACGCUGAGGAGCGAAAGCAUGGGGAGCGAACAGG
rnacentral:rRNA from 1 species